rnacentral:rRNA from 1 species
AGUGAACGCUGGCGGUAGGCCUAACACAUGCAAGUCGAACGGCAGCACAGUAAGAGCUUGCUCUUACGGGUGGCGAGUGGCGGACGGGUGAGGAAUACAUCGGAAUCUACUUUUUCGUGGGGGAUAACGUAGGGAAACUUACGCUAAUACCGCAUACGACCUACGGGUGAAAGCAGGGGAUCUUCGGACCUUGCGCGAUUGAAUGAGCCGAUGUCGGAUUAGCUAGUUGGCGGGGUAAAGGCCCACCAAGGCGACGAUCCGUAGCUGGUCUGAGAGGAUGAUACGCCACAUGGGAACUGAGCCACGGUCCAGACUCCUACGGGAGGGAGCAGUGGGGAAUAUUGGACAAUGGGCGCAAGCCUGAUACAGCCAUACCGCGUGGGUGAAGAAGGCGUUCGGGUUGUAAAGCCCUUUUGUUGGGAAAGAAAAGCAGCAGGUUAAUACCCCGCUGUUCUGACGGUACCCAAAGAAUAAGCACCGGCUAACUUCGUG